AGAGGCUAUUCUGACUGACAAAGGCUGGCAGCACAGUUGUUGUGGUGGUCAGUGCCUGUGUGCAGCUCAUGAGAAAUUGUCUGCAGUGCCAUAACAGAAUGAAUAAUCAGCUGUACUCUUCUACGGUGCUGUACCAAAGCCAUGCCACACUUUUUGGAAAUGAUGGCCACCCACCUCUUAAAUCAGAAGUGUAAGCUGCCUGGAUGAAGGUCACAAAGCAAAUCAAUACAGUCUCCAGGUCUGCAAACCCUAGGAUCAAAUACUGAAGACAUUUGUAGAAGAUACAGAAGCCUGAAGACACACACCAGCAGGUUCAGAAACAAUCUCUUCCCGGCCGUUGUUAGACUGAUGAAUGG